UACGUAGGGGGCAAGCGUUGUCCGGAAUCAUUGGGCGUAAAGCGCGUGUAGGCGGUCCGGUAAGUCCGCUGUGAAAGUCGGGGGCUUAACCCUCGGAUGCCGGUGGAUACUGUCGGGCUUGAGUACGGGAAAGAGGCGAGUGGAAUUCCUGGUGUAGCGGUGAAAUGCGCAGAUAUCAGGAGGAACACCAAUUGCGAAGGCAGCUCGCUGGGACGUUACUGACGCUGAGACGCGAAAGCGUGGGGAGCAAACAGG
rnacentral:rRNA from 1 species